rnacentral:lncRNA from 1 species
UCCGGUCUCAAUGAUGACGACGAUGAGAAUGGUGUAGGCGGGGGCGGCGGAGGCAACAACCCUGUUGACGGCGAAGUUGGCGACGUCAGCCGUGCUGAAGGUGUUGAUGGGGGUGAGGGCAAAGGAUGACGUCUUUCGCCACACUAUUUUUGCUUCUUUGCUCAGAUUAGUUGAGAUCUAUGUACUUUCCUUUUGUUCAGCCUCUACUGAGGUUAGUGUAAAGAUUCGCAGCAUUAAUGAAAAUGAAGAAUUUCCAAAGUAAUUAGGUUCAGUUUUGUUCUCGUUGUUUUUCUUUUCUUCGAGUUUAAGUCGUCGCCCCAAGCUCUUUUUGCUCAGCUUCUGCCGAGGUCAAUGCAUAUAUCGAAAGAUAAUAUAACAGUAAAGGAAUUCCUAAAGUACCUAACUUCGAUCUUUAAUUGUGUUGGACCACUUCUUGAUUUGAGCUUGGGUCAUCUAAUCGAGCUCUUCCCCUUGGUGGCUUCAGCCUAUCUUGGGCUCCUCGGUCGAUCAACUUGGGGUUCAGCUCCUAAGGAAUUCUGAUGGAGCUCGAUUGAAGGAGAUCCCAAGUUGGCCUGGGGUGUCUCCUUUCAUCUCUAGACUAUAGUUCUAAAGGCAUCCCUAGAUUGAGAUUCGAGAGAGAUUCUGAGUGGGCUUAGCCGAGUGGUCUGUCAAGCCUUCGACAUCAGGCUCGGUGUCCUACUUGGGCCAUUAAUGACAUGAUGAGGUUGAGUGGCACGUUAAGCCUUCGGGGUGGUGGCCAGUCUCCUGCUUGGGCCAUUUAUGACUUGAAGAGGUCAAGUGGCAUGCCAAACUUUUAGCACAGGAGCCAGUCUCCUGCUUGGGCCAUUUAUGACCUAAAGAGGUCAAGUGGCGCGCUAAGCCUUCAUCGUGAGGGAUGGUCUUCUGCUUGGGCCAUUUAUGACUUAAAGAAGUCAGGUGGCAUGCCAAGCCUUCGGCAUAGGGGCUGGUCUCCAACUUAGGCCAUUUACAAUCUGAAGAAGUUGAGUAGCAUGCCAAGCCUUUAGCAUGGGGGGCAGUCUUCUGUUUGGGUCAUGUACGACUUAAAGAGGUCUAGUGGCAUGCUAA